CAUCCGUUAUGAGAUCUGGUGCCCUCUU
rnacentral:piRNA from 1 species